rnacentral:rRNA from 1 species
UACGGAGGGUGCGAGCGUUGUCCGGAAUCACUGGGCGUAAAGGGCGCGUAGGUGGCGCGGGAAGUCUUCGGUGAAAGCUCAGGGCUCAACCCUGAGUCGGCCGGCGAUACUCCCGUGCUCGAGCUCACUAGAGGCAGAUGGAAUUCCGGGUGUAGCGGUGGAAUGCGUAGAGAUCCGGAGGAACACCGGUGGCGAAGGCGGGUCUCUGGGCCGAUACUGACGCUGAGGAGCGAAAGCGUGGGGAGCGAACAGG